rnacentral:lncRNA from 1 species
AUUUUUAUAAAUUAAUAAUUCUGUAAAGUAAUAAAUUUAUAUAGUGCCAACAUUUUUAAUAGAGUUUUACUGUAUUUUUAUUUGUCCAUUUUCUCAAACAAAUAGUUUAGUAGUAUGCAUAUUAACACUACAUUAUUAAACACUAAAACUGAACUAUAAGUUUCUGUCUAACAUGAAAAGUUUCUAUAACUUCCAUAAAGCAAUACAUUUACACUUAAAAAAAAAGCCGCAUCCACAUAAAUUGCUAUAUCAGUUGAAUGUCAAAUUAAUCAACAAUACCAUCAAAAAAAAUGUUCAUAUUUAAAUAACAACAAAAAAGUUUAAAGCAAAUAAGAAAACAACUACAAUUAUUAAUACAUCAGUAACCCGCCAUCUAACAAAAGUUCUAUAUAAGAUCUUCAAUAAAGAGAAAGAUUCACAAGAAAAUAUAUUUCUCCACUAUAUUCAAAAACAAAAGAAAAAACAAAUAAAAUGGUAUCAUAUACUUUUAGUCAACAAUUAUAACAAACCCUGCCGUCCACUU